ensembl:snRNA U6 U6 spliceosomal RNA
GUGCUCACUUUGGCAGCACAUAUACUAAAAUUGGAAUGGUAAGAGAAAAUUAGCAUGGCCCCUGUGCAAGAGUGAAAUGCAAAUUUGUAAAGUGUUCCUUUUUUUA